GUGAGAUUGUCUGUGUCUGCAUGUGAGUAUGCUUACUGUAUAAUUAAAAAUUUUACUCUGAAAGGACCAAUAUUUUAUAUUGGAAAAAGCAAUAUAUAUAUAUAUAUAUAUAUAUAUAUAUAUAUAUCAUCUAGGGCGGCAAGAUAUAGCCUUACAUAUUACAUGCGACAAUAUAUGGCGCAAUGACUUAUGGGGCUGGCAUAGAUUUUUUUUCCAGGGCUGCUUUGGAAUCUCCAGUCCGGCCCUGGGCGGCGGAGGAAAGUUACUGAAGGGGUUUUCACCCCUUCAGCAACUGGGGAUUGGGGGGGUGGGAGGGAGAGGGGACCAGCAGUGCCAUGAAAACUGUUUAUUUUCCUGGCACUGGAGUUUCCCAUUAACAGUGAUUGGGACUUUUAGGGCUAGGUGAGUCUGCUUCUCUCUCUUGUUAUCUUGGAAAUUUAGCAUUUUCUACUUAGGUCCCUCUUUCCAGUUAGUUUUUUUACCCAUAGGGAAAGGUUUGUUUGUUAUCUGAUACAUCUUGUUCUUGGACCAUAUUCUGUCUAGAGGUUAUUGUGCAGUCUACUCCCCAGGGCACAAUUUUAAAAAAAAAUCAUGGAGAUUUAUUAUGCAGCAGUUUGGAAGUAUGAACUUUUUAUUGUAACAAUUGUGGUUUUAGUAUUGUAUUGUAAUUUUAUAUACAUUUUUAGUUGACAAUUUUUUACUGUUUCGUUUCUUUGAUAUUAUCAAUGAAUAUGUUUAAAUAGCUUUUUCCUGCACUGUGCAGUGGAUCACAUUUUUGUCAUAUCAUAUUUUCUAUUUUGUUAACUUAAUACAUUUGUUUCUUUUUCAAUACAAUUUGUAUUUAUUUCUUUCUUUCGCUGCUGCUCUUGCGCACAUUUUGCUCUGUUGGACCUUAGAGCCAGCUAAAGGAGGCAGAGCAUCCCUCCUCCCCCUCCCCCCUGAUUUUUUUGGGUGCAGAAAACAUGAAAGUCAGAUAUGUUGUCAUUUUUGGAACUACUGAUAAGUGUGUUAGAAAAACAAAAUGUGUCUGUCAUGAUUAUAUAUGUCAUCCAUUCUCCCUUUUUGAUAACUGGCAAUUAUUUUGUGGACCAAGAGCAAGAUUAUUUGUUUUUACAGUUUUAUCCACUCAAAGUACAUAAAAUACCUUAAUAUAUAUAUAUAUAUAUAUAUAUUGUAUUAAAUAUAUAAAAUGCUUUGUAAAUAUAUUUGUAUAUACACGUUAUCUUUUAAAUUACUGAAUUUCCAACAGUUGAGUACAAUUUUAAUUAGCUUUUAAAAAUACAAGGCUAUAGUUAAUAUUCAACAUUAUCUAUACCCAUCAUAUAUUUUUCCUUUUUUUUAAAGUAAUUGCAUUGUUUUUACAAGGUGCUCUUUGCAUUAUUGCAUUUGUACAUUGUGCUGUUUGUGCUGAAUGUUCUUCCUUGCUGGAUUUUCUGUUACACAUUAACUUUUGUUUCUUUCAUAGUGGCCUUCACAUUUCAUGAGUCUCUUUGGGUUGUCGUGGAUACCGAAGAGACCUUGACAAUCAGAAUUUGUUGGUAUGCGACAGGACCAUGGGUUUAAAUUAUACAGUGCUACAGUUUGUGUUGGGAGAACAGACUAAGAUGGGUCAAUCUAUCAGGAAACAAAAUUAUUCUUGUGUUUUUUUUGGACCUAUCAUGGUAUAUCAAUUCUAUGAAGAUUAAUAGUUUAUGUAAAAUGAAGAUGGUCAGAUUACUUUGUUUAAUAAUUGUAUUCAUCUAGAAUGCAG